AUGCCAUCAUUCCUGGAAGGAGAGAUCGAUGCCCCAAAACCAAUGGUCAUAUAUUCAUCUUCAUCUACCCUGAUGAACCCCCAUGGCUAUUGCCCUCUUCUUCAUCCCUCGGUCAUCGCAUCAAGGAUGUUUCUCCCCCACGACACCAAUACCGAUCUUGUGCGGAGCAGAGGACUUCUUCUAUGCAGUUUUUUUUAUGAUAUCAUCUUCCAUAUGCAUGUGUGCAGAUCGUUGAAAAAGGAAAAACAUUACUCAUCAGGCUGCCCCGUAGAUGUGUUCGUUGUGUAUUUCUCCAUAGCAUUGUUCUUUGUACGUGAUGAUGUGAUGUAUGCGUGGGUGGCUUUGAUCCCUUACCUGAUGGAUGCAGGUAUGGUGUUGAUCCUUGACCUGAUGGAUGCAUGGGUCCUGACUCCUGAUCGAUGCAGUAGCUGCAAUCUCCUGUGGCUCAACUACCUCCACCUCUCCAUGCUAUGUUGCAAUGGAGCGACCUGA
rnacentral:rRNA from 1 species